GUGAUUACUGCUCCUCUAAGUAUGUGUCCGCAUACUAGACAGGAGAGGACAAAAGUCAUCUUCUUGUGAAGUUUUAUAUUUUUAUUCAGGAAAGGAAGGCUGCCGGUCCAUCUGCCUACAACUCACUGGUCAGAACAGUAUCACAUGAUCCCUCUGUCAACAAGGGAGUCUAAGAAAGUCAUUUACCUUUCAAGUAUCUAAAGUAUGGAAUGGCAAGGUAGAAGCGAGUUGUUGGCAGUUGGGAAGGAAAGCUGGAUGUGGAUGAGAUCAAGGACAAGCCAGAACCUGUGAAGACAGACUUGGGCCCGCAAAGAACACUGGAACUCACGAGGACAAACUGGAACCUGUCUCUUGCCCCAGUUGACAUCUUGACUGUGACUUUAUGAGAGACCCCAAGGCAGAACUGUUUAGCUAAGCUGCUUUCUGACCCACAGCAACUGUGAGAUAAUAAAU
rnacentral:lncRNA from 1 species